rnacentral:rRNA from 1 species
GGGCCCGCACAAGCGGUGGAGCAUGUGGUUUAAUUCGAUGCAACGCGAAGAACCUUACCUGGUCUUGACAUACACAGAAUCUUGUAGAGAUACGAGAGUGCCUUCGGGAAUUGUGAUACAGGUGCUGCAUGGCUGUCGUCAGCUCGUGUCGUGAGAUGUUGGGUUAAGUCCCGCAACGAGCGCAACCCUUGUCCUUAGUUACCAGCACUUCGGGUGGGAACUCUAAGGAUACUGCCAGUGACAAACUGGAGGAAGGCGGGGACGACGUCAAGUCAUCAUGGCCCUUACGACCAGGGCUACACACGUGCUACAAUGGCGGUGACAAUGGGCAGCGACAGGGCGACCUGAAGCAAAUCCCUAAAAGCCGUCCCAGUUCGGAUUGUACUCUGCAACUCGAGUGCAUGAAGUUGGAAUCGCUAGUAAUCG